AAGCAAUGGUGCAGAUAAGAGUCAGAAGAUGGCCAUGUUAUAGGCAUUCUUAACUCUUGUGGAAGGAACAUUCUACAGGAAGUUUGGCCACAGGCUGAAAAGAUGCUUUCUCCAGCUGCCAGUAGUCUAUCUCUUGCUUUUGAGAGCGCCAUUUUUCUGAAGGAUCAUUGCUGUUGUGUACUGUCUCGGCUGCAGAGGGGAGAGAAAUGUGCCACUACGAAGGAACUGAUUGCAGUGGGAAAUGCACAAGAACCAUAACUCAGAAUAUUCAUCAACUUUGCAGAUUCCUGGAGCCUGUUCAUGAACUUGACGUCAGGAAAGCUGCAAAUGUUUCAACGGUGCAACUAGCAUCUCCGUCCCAGAGGCUAACGCAGAUAAGAAGGUAAAAAAACGCACUCGUGAUGAAAUGUUCUCUGAGCUCAUGCAGUCCUCGCAAACUGAAAGAGCCCAGCAGAAUGUUUGGAGGCAGACAAUGGCAGAGUCCAGGAAAGCACAAAAUGAACGUGAGGACAGAUCGCUAGAGCAACAGGAGAGGUGGCGGCAGCAUGAUGAAAGGAGGCAAGAUGCAAUGCUGAGGCUACUGGAGGAUCAAACUGAUAUGCUCCAGCAUAUGGUUGAGGUGCAGGAAAGGCACAGACUGCCACUGCAGCCCCUGUGUAAUCAAUCACCCUCCUCCCCAAGUUCCAUAGCCUCCUCACCCAGACGCCCAAGAACGUGGGGGUGCACUCCGGGCACCCAGCCACUCCGCCCCAGAGGACUGCCCAACUAACAGAAGGGUGUCAUUCAAUAAGUUUUGAAGUGCAGUGUGGCCUUGUCCUUCCCUCCUCCCCAACCCCACCUGGUGCUUUCCUCCUCUCCCACCCCUCCCAGGCUAC